CAGCCGCCACGGUAAUACGUAGGGUGCAAGCGUUAAUCGGAAUUACUGGGCGUAAAGCGUGCGCAGGCGGUUCGUUAAGACAGACGUGAAAUCCCCGGGCUUAACCUGGGAACUGCAUUUGUGACUGGCGGGCUAGAGUAUGGCAGAGGGGGGUAGAAUUCCACGUGUAGCAGUGAAAUGCGUAGGGAUGUGGAGGAAUACCGAUGGCGAAGGCAGCACCCUGGGCCAAUACUGACGCUCAUGCACGAAAGCGUGGGGAGCGAACAGGAUUAGAUACCCCAGUAGUCCCUGUCUCUUAUAC
rnacentral:rRNA from 1 species